CCCCUAAGCCCAAACCCCCCUCUACCCCAUGCAGCCGUCGGUGCCGCACCGCUGCGACGCGUUCAUGUUCAUGUCGCCGCAGCUGGUGAGGUAGCAGCGGUUCAUGUAGGAGGUCGGGAAGACCAGCGCUAAGCAGUUGCAGAAGGGCGAGACCAAGGGUGGUUUGUACCACUCUCAAGACGUGUACGACGACAGCGUUCGUUACGAUAAAACAAACUUCCGGACUAUUUUGUAACGAAAAAUAAAGGUCUAGUGCGACUGUCCAAAGUACAAAGACGACUGUAGCCGUAAGGAACCGAAAAACAUAAGUGGAGUAGAACUAUGUCGCGGGGGAUCUACCCAAGUAGAGCGCGUACCUUAGGAAGAGAAGGAAAUGGUCUGAAAACUACGACACCUACCAUUUGUUCGUUCUGCAUGGUUGAGUAGUUCAGGAAAUCCGCUUGAAAAACUAGUGCCUACGCUACGCGAACGUACAUGAAAACUCAGGGACCGAAAACCCUCGUGUCGAUACACACCUUUACGAUGGAAAACCAAAACCCAGUAAAGCCGACAGGGGAAGAUGAAACGUUGGACCCUUGUGAUAAAAUGUUUGUGUGAACAAGAAGGAUAUCAGUUACCUGGUUGACUUCCGGAAUACGACUAAAUACACACGGUAUAGAAGUGGAAAAAGUGUCCUCGACUUACCACCCGCGUCCUAAAGGCCUUUAGUAACGGGGAGGAAUUAACCCACGGAGAACAAGGACUUUAGAGCGAUAUACCGUAGCACGACAAAGAUUACUAACGAAAACGACAUUAGGGUUGCUAACCUAGAUUGUGAGUGUUACAAAUGUUUCAGCAACUUCGUUCUUUUCCUUCGUACCACGACCGUGAUCGUUACGAGAAGGGAAAGCCAAAUGAGUACCGACCUUGAGAGCACACCAGGAUGGAUAGAGGAAGUCUAUAUUACUCUUUAGUUGGUGUAGACGAUUAAUAACCUUGCCCAAAACGCAAACCGAUAGAACACCCUUCUUACUAAGACCGAGUGAAUACACUACUUGGGUUUCCAGACUUCUGUCCUUACACGUACCGGGACCGUAUAAAAGGCAAACGUUAACGUUUACGUGACUGACGGGCUGAACUACUACCUUUGGGGGAAAAACUACUCGUCGAGCAAGAGGACUAUAUGACGAAUAAAUGUCACCGCGACAUGUACGUAAAACGAUGCAGGCAAUAGGUACUUUAGUGGUUGCGUGAACCCUAAGUAACGAAGUCUUAGUGGUCCUUUUUCCGCAUUAGACUGAGUCAACCAUUAGUGUACCACAGAUGGUUUCUUCGUUUGUACGGACGAACAGAAGCAAUGUCCCCACUACAGGCUUAGUAGAAACGUAGACAGUAAUGUCCCUGUGACAGGGGACUUUAAACGUAGUCGUGAUUUUAAACACGACUACUCUUUUGUUACAUACACUUUGUCAACCGUUUUAAAACAACAUAACAGGUAUCUCGUUUACGAGUCGUUUUUGAAAUACCUCCUUUACGACACGACUAACCGUCACCAACGGAAACAUUGAACAGUGUAACAUUGUAGUCGUUUCUACGCCUAUCACAACAAAUACGUAAAAUAAGCACAGAAAAAAAGCUGGGUUACGGAGGUAAGAACAAGACAAAAAGUCUCCGUCUAUGGUAAUCGUCAACCCAAACAAAGAAAAAACAAAACUCUUUUUGUUAGCUACCUCCCUCGUCAAGACUAAACCGACUGUCUAACGUAACACUAACACGAGACAUAUAUAGUGAGACGUAGUUACUUAAGGGUACGACU
rnacentral:rRNA from 1 species